UCGCUCCCGAGAACAAUUAACCGGCCGGUUUGAGGGUUAAUUCAACUAUUCCUGACAGAUCAUACAACAAACAAAAAAUAAUUUUUCAAAUCGAUUUCUGGAGCUGCUGUGUUAAAAAAUUAUAACCGUAACAUCAGCAUUCGAUAGGCGAAAACCUGCGAUGAUAAUUUAGGCGGUGAUGGAGGUGUGUGAAGUUUCGAUGCAGCUUUCAGAGGCUUCCACGUUUGUACACGUGUUGUUUUGGUUUAUUUCUCUUCUUUGUCUAU